rnacentral:tRNA from 221 species
GGCGCCAUAGCCAAGUGGUAAGGCAGAGGUCUGCAAAACCUUUAUCACCGGUUCAAAUCCGGUUGGCGCCUCCA